CGAGUUGGUGGCAGUGGACGGUUGAGGAAGUCGCUAACCAAGCCAAUACUUCUGUGUUUUUGUGCAAAUUGACAGGUGCUUUCAUUGUAUAUCAAAAUGCUGUAAAAGGACAUUGUUAUGUUAGGAGUUGUUUCACAGAAGGCAUCACAGCAUACAUCAAUUAAUUUCCCCUUUAAAUUGCACUAUUUGAACAGGAAUUUGGUGCCCAAACAGGCGAGGGUACAUGCCAGUACUCUUUAUCAGUAAUGUUUGCAUUGCUAUGAGUAAAUGUUACAAAGGAAAAUGUAUUAGAUGUUCCAGACACUCAGUCUUGUUUAAAUACUAGGAAAGACAGUCAUGCUGAACCAUGAUGACAUAAUGGACAAAGACCUGUUGCCUCCUUAGUUUCAAUAGUUUCAAUUUAUUCCAGAUAAAAAAAAAUGUUGAAACAUCUCAACAUGAUACAACUAGCUUUGCUUUUACAAUUUAUGUUUUAAGUAUCCCACUGAGCAUUUUUUGGUCUAAAAGAGGUCUAAUAGAUGUCUAAAUGUAGCCUAGAUGACUGGUCUUAAAUCAGGCUACCACAGGUCUAAAAUUGAAAGAUUUUUAGAUGUCUAAAUUUAGACCAAGUUUAGACCAAAUCUAAAUCUGGGCUAUAUCUACAGUACGCUGUAUAUUGCUCAACGGCUCUCAUGAUUAUUUUGGUUAAGUACUUGGAGAUCAGUAGUGCAACUCACUGUUGCAUUCUGAAAUAAAUUCUGAAUAAUGGGCUAAAGUGCAAACGUCUAUAUUCCGUCUAAAAAUAUACAGAAUCUAGACGGUUGAAAUUCGGUCUAAAAAGAAACUAGAUUUCUAAUAGCCGUCCAUUGCUGUGGGAUAAUGCAAAGAAUUAUAUUUGUAUUUUUUCAGUCUCCACUCAACAUAAUAGUUUGUAUUUCUUUCUGGAGAUUAAUUCAUACAAUGCACAGCCUUGAGGAAAUCAAGUAUUACAUCACUCUGCAUCCCAAGCUUGGUCUGGUCUGUAGCAAGCUCCUCUUGUUUCUGCGUUUUACAUGAAAACAGAGCAGACUUGUAACAGAAACCAUACAGGUCCUGUUGGCCUGGACUGAACAGAGCAGCAGCUGUUCACAACUCUUGGGACGCUGAGAAGUGCUUGCAUGUAACAACAGCAUGAGCUGUCAAGAUAUGAGCUGUCAUUUUUAUAUGUGGGCUGUUAUUUCCAUGAAAGAAUACGGAGUGUCUCAAAGCAGAGAAAUGCUCACUUACUGUCUGUGCUCCACGCUCGGUCUAUAAAUAAAGUAGUCACACACGAGUGGCUGCUUCAGUCAGAGCUGACUGAUUUAUUAAAGCCUGCGGCCCUGAAUGUCCUGCAGCGAGGGAGCACUUAUCAAGGUAACCUCUGACUCUGCUUGAUACAAAACACACAACCUGAUUUUGAGCUCUUCUUGAGAUGAUGAAGAUAGAUCAGGUUAGAAACUAGGGAAUCUAAUCUCAUUAACGGCACCAUGAGACCUAAAUAUGCUUUUAUUCUCACACAUAGACAGCAUGCGUGUUCUCACAGGUGUGUUUCAUUUUAACAGGCAGUCGGGGCCGCAUGAAAGGAGUUUACUUUUGUGUAUCUGAUAGAUUUCUUGAAAUGAGAGGUUUUAAAUACCAUGCGGGAUUGCAGAGGUUGUACCCUAACCUUCACAUAGUUUGCAUAGAAGCCUCUGUUUGCCUGCGACUACCUGAGCCGGGAAAACCGCAGGAAUGCAUUCCUUUGCAUUCCUUUGCAUUUCACUGGAUUUGGCUUAGCACAACUAGGAGACAAAAUGCCAAGAGGUUUGUUUGUACAUUAUGUGUGUUGUUUUGCAUUCCUGGUUGUUCCUUUACAAGAGCAGCAGCAGCAGGCCUCUAGUUUGAGGUUUAAAGUGAAGUUUGGUAUUCAGACAGUUACAGUUUCUUGUACUGAGUGAAGUUGUUCCACCCUGUGUGAUCUUAUCUGCACUUGCAGGUAAGGAACUGAGGUUUGUCAGCUUCCGCUCUCGCAGACUCACAAACUUCCUCUGUUUUUUUACUUCCCCCUCCUGUCUGCACCUGUUCUUGGCAGACAGGUUGAGUCACAUUACCUGCUUUAUGAACGUCUCUUGCUCAACAGUCCAAUAGUUGUGUCAGUUCUGUGCGAGGCGUGGUGAUGCCUGUCCACUCAGGGUGCUAUACUGACAGCACAUUCUGUUAACCGCAGUGGCGUCACAGUUUGCAGUGUGCCAGCUCGUCAUCGUGAUCAGCAGAUGGUAGAGUGUGAGUUUUUGCCUCAGAUCCAGGCUGAGAGGCUGUUGCUUGAAUUAUCAGAUAGAAACCCCAUGUGGCAGCAGUUGAGUAUAUUCACAAGUAUUGAACUCAUGCUUCAGGCCCCAGGCUAUAUCAGUGUGUACACCCCAGGGGCUUACGGAUGGUGCGCAUGCUUAACAACGAAAAACAAAUAUAUGCCGGAUUGAGACACUGGCUGCUAUCAGCAUUGCACCCCUGGGAGUGUUGAUUUCUGCUGGCGUCUAAUAGCCUAUUCCUCAGAGCCAUAUGUGCCCUUCCAAGAGGAAAGUCCCACAACAGCAACUCCUGCUGUGGGACUCAGCUCAGAAAUGUUUAAAAGUUGUGCUGAAAAAAGCUGUUUUUUUAAUGGCCACAUACUUAACUUCCUCUGGAGAUGCAACAUCAGAGUGUGUUUACAGUAGAGACAUUUCAGUAAUGUUCUUUUCCUUACAGAUAACAAAUCCUGAACUUGGGUGAGCUUUUUGGCCAACGCCAAGUACUUUCUCUGAUAGUAAUGGAAACAAAACAUAGUAUUAUCAACCAACACUGAUUACUGUCAUUAUGCUAGCUCCAACUUUUGGUGAUAAUCAGUUAGGACCAAUUUCCACUUGAGUGCGUGACUGGUGAAUACAGUGCUAACAUAGAAAAAGUCACUUAACGCAGCCUAAAAUUUGACACUGUUAAUUCUGCAAUUGGUGCAAUUACAGGUGAAUAAAAAUCGGCAAUCCUCGAAAUAAUGUGCACCCCAAAUAACACAUUUCCUCUGAACUGUAAAUCACAAUCCAGAGGAGGUAUUUGUAUCUGUAGAGAGAGAGUGUUCUCUGUCUGUUAUUUUGUCAUGAUCACCAGUUUGCCAUGUACAUCAGUGAUUGGCCAGUGCUUGAAGGCACAGGACAAAAUACAUUUAAUUUUAAGGCUAUUUUGAUAUUUAGCCCCCACACAUCUUGGCAACUGAGUUUUCAUGUGUAAUGGAAAAGCUCUGACGUGCACAAGUAUUGUAGGAAAUGGUGUUUUGAUAAAACUGAAGAAAAAACUCAUCAUGCCACCAAGGCACAGAAAAUUAUGUAGGUGUAAGAUUUCUUAUUGACAGGCUACAGUCAAGUCAUGUAGUUUUCAUAAAGGCAGUGUUAAAACCAUGUCUCAUUAUUGUGAACCUGGUCUCACGAAGACUCCCUACUCUACAUGGUAUUUCAAAGAGAAGUCUGAUUCUUAGUUAAAUAGCCGAGCUAUGAGUAAAAGUGAUCCUGUUCUGAAGGAGCAGUAAAGUAUGAAAGCAGUGGCCCAGAUGUGUUAGACAGGCAGACAGAGCCCACUGGCGAACAUGGCUGCCCUUGAUAGUGAAGCUGUUGUAGUUCAGCCAGACAACCAUGGAUGACUGGUCAGUGAGUUGACAAAACUCUGACUUCUUCACAGGCCUGGCUUAUGAACAACUACACUCACUUAUGUUGUGUUCAUCUGAAAGUCAGACUGACAUUGUUAAGUAGGACAAGUCAGGGUGAUUACAUUACAACAGCUGUUUUGAGAAGGCUCUACUCAUUACUUAAGAUGUAACAUGUGCCAACCAGCUUCAGAUUCCUCUGGGUGGGUGCCAAACAUUCCUAGUAUGAAUCAGCUACAUCGAAGGAAAAUCAUACUUCGAGUAUAGGAGGAUAAGCUUUUUGUUUGUUGUGUUUUGUAAGAGAACUAGGUCCUUUUUAUCCCUCUCUAGACUGUUGUCAACAAGUGAUGAGAAAAGUCUAAAGAUGUCAGAGGCAAUCGAUUGUUAGCUAAGCCUCAUACUCGUAUUGCACGGCCUGAAAAGCUCCAGUGUCCAUGUUUAUUGACGAUCUUAUGACCCAGAUUUCUUGGUAACAUUUCAGAUUCUCAUUUCUGUGGCAGAUUUUAUUCGCUGAGGCUAGCUGAUUCAGCUUAUGUCAGCACCAGGUUCACUUGGUUCAGAAUGUAGGCCAACUCUGUGUUUUUUAGUUGCCUCAUAUUAAAACAAAGUGAUUUAGAUAUAUGAUCAAGAUGGCUCAAGAUCAGUAUCAGCUGUGAUCCAUACGAACAGACUUUGGACCAGCUAAUGCAAGCUAAUGCUCUUAACUUUCCAGCCUGGUUAACAUACUGUGACAUGUUUUUAGAAAGGGCUAAGUUUAUUGAUCAGAACUCAAACAAAAAGUGGUUAAACAAAAAGAUAAUCUUAUUUCUACAAUGACAGCUUGGUAAAUUUGUCUUCAAAUGUAACAAAUUAAAUGUCUGAAGGACACGAAAAGCAUGUUUUUCGGCACAUUUAACUCAUACAAACUGUGUCCCUAUUCAAGAGUAGGACCCUUCAAAGAACUUCACCUGCAAAGAUCACUGAAGUAUGUCUGGUCUACGGGGGAUUACCUGUUUGCAUCGUCUGCUUUUAACCACAUGUAAAUUAGCAUCACUCCUCU